rfam:Ovis aries breed Texel chromosome 11, whole genome shotgun sequence.
UCCCUAGUGGCUCAGAGGGUAAAGCGUCUGCCUGCAAUGCAGGAGGCUGGGGUUUGAUCCCUGGGUGGGGAA